GAGGAAGAAUUUUGAGACUCCUGUUCCUAGCUGUGCGUGGGUGGGGGUGGCUGCCACCCACCUUCCCACGAAUGGCAUCUUCCUCUCACCCUCUGAGUUCCACGUGGGUUUGCUGGGGGCCUGGGCUGGGGAAAGGCAGUUAUGUGUUUGUUUUUGGGCAAGAGAAAGGAUUAGGUAACCUGAGUGGGCUGGGACUCGAGGUCAAUCCCGUGUCAACCAUGUGCCCCAGCAGGAACCAGCGAGCGACCAGAGGACAUUAACAAGGAAGCGCGCUGGCCUGGUCACACGCACAGGGUGUCGCCGGCCUGUCCCCCAGCCCUGCCUCCACCUCUCAUUUCUGCUUCCUCCUUCCUUGUGAGCAGCCUGCCCGGCUCCGUCCUAACCGAUCUUUCCUGCUCCCCCUCAGUCUUCCGUGCACUCUCAGGGGCCCAUCUCGAGGUGCCCGGAUAUUCUAGGAGGGCCUGACAGGAGCUCCACCUGGCCCAGCCUGGUUUCUGGGGGAGUGGGGAGACCCGAGGAAGACGUGCAUCACACAGUACCACAGAGGCAAAGGCCGCCAAGGAAUGGAAGUCUCCGGGUGGGCAGCUUUGGGGGGCGCAGCAUGCAGCUGGUCUUCUCAGAGCCCAAGGAGUCCAGCACAGCAGGGCCAGCUCCUCCUCCCCAACCCCAGGACCUUCUUCCAGGAAAGGCUCCCCCUGGCUCCAUCCUCCUGGACACAGAGCUGCAGCGGGUGUGUGAGGGGAAGAAACAGAGCUAGGCAGAAAGGAAUCUCACUCAAAAUUCUGCUCCAAGGUUUGAAGACCCCAGGAGCCCCACUAGGUCCCGAUUUGCACCUGUGAGCCUCACUUCCUCCCUCGGACUCCGCCCUCCCGGAAGCAGCACAGGGGCAGGCAGCGAAUCUCAGCUCCACACCUGGGAAAUGAUUUGCACCGUACACAGCCACCAGGGACAACUGUGAUCCUCAACCCAGACUCCACGGCUGGAACCCCAAGGGCCAGGCCCGGACAGGGCAGCCUCUACACCUGCGGUGGAGCACUGCAGACCAUGUGCCUGGGAAGCAGGUACUCCAGGCCCACUUGUGCGGCACCUUCCACCUACCCUCCAGGAAUGAGGAGCUGGUCAGCCGGUGCCCCUCUGGGACACACUGAGAGCCGAGGUCCUCCGGGUUCCUUUCUCAUGGAGCAUCGAUGCAGGGAAUCCCUGUGCGCCUGAGCUGUAGAUAGGGGACAGAUGGGGACACACGGCAGGCAGCUUCCUUCCUGUCCUCAGCCUGGCUCUGAGCACCAGGCAGGACCUGGGGGCAAGAGAAUCCCAAGAGGUCAGUGGAAUAAGCCUGGAAACCCAUGGGGCCGAGGGGCCACGUGGGGCAACGGGACCUCAGCGUCUCCUCUUUAAUAAUCGCUAUAGAUUUCUUGUUCGGGGCGCAGUGGGCCUGUGAGGACACGUGGGCACAAUCAGCGCACCUUGGGUCUGGCUGUGGCUCAUCCCGUUUCUUGGAGGACUGUCAGGAGGGGAGCUGGACGUGUCCACCUCUCCCCACUCGGUGACAACUGCUCUGGAAGGGGCCCUGCAGUCUGCGUCACAGAACCAAGCAGCACAGGCCACGUGCAUGAGGGGGCCAGGCUUGUGGCAACUAAACUGGGGUGGCACCUGAGUUGGGGGUUCUGGGGGACUUUUAUGCCACCACAUAGGGCUCUUUGUUCUCAGCCAUUUAAGAAUUAAAACCAGCUAUGGGUCGGUCAGACAUGAACUGGCCCAUUUGGCCCUCAGCUGUAGGUGCCACCUCUGAUGCUCCUAAUGUCACCAUUUUAUGGGAAAUGAAAGGCACGGAGUGUGAAGGGACACAUCAGAGCCUGUGUGACAGUGAACCCUCGGGACCAGCACCUGGGUGACCCUCAGCCAGCCUGCUUUCACCACCACUCACUGCCUCCCGGGCGCCCUAUCUUUGGGGGUCAGGCUCAGCUGGCUCUGGUUCAGUGGGUGUAUCCGUCUCUGAGCCCAGACUGUGACUACAGGGAAGUGCAGACGCUGGGGCCUUGAGGGGCCUUGGUUAGCUCCCUCUGCAGAUCCAGAAGGUCCCACCAUCAGGAGGAAGCACAUGGUGGGAGGCCAGACCUCGGUGAAUUGGGAUCUUGUCUCUUUAUACCCUCAAAAUCUCCAAGUCUCACCUCUUGGGAUUCCCUGUGGCACUAAAGAGACCCUGUCAUCCCAGCACUCUAGGGGCUGAGGCAGGAAGGAGCCAAGUUCUGCCCUAACCUGGGCAACUUAGUGAGUGAGAUGCUGUCUGAAAACAGAAAAUAGAGUUGUAGAUGUGGCACAGGGCAAAGGCCCUGGACUCAGUCCCCAGGACAGAGAGAGACCGAGAGGGGUCGUGCGAGGCUAUGGCCAGCCUGAGCCACUGUUUGGUGGCCUCGCUCCCUGUGAGGUGAGGGACUCAGAGACAGCAUCCCCCAGUAGGAGGUCUUUCCUGGUCACAGCUGCUGUGACCCAUAGCCUGGGUCUGUCCUUGGACCCUGAGGCCACCUGUCCAGGAACCAUAGUGGACCCAAGAGUUGGCCGUAGCACUGGAAUAUUCCAAAGGCCCCAGGAUGUCUCAGGCUGCCACGUGAGAUAAAAAUCCCCAAAUGUCUCAGGACAGAAAACCGCUUUAACCAUCUGUGUCCCCUGCCCAUCACUACGAAAGUACAAUCAUCCCGUGACCAUAAACGUAAUGACAUCCUGCUGCAGGUCACAAACCAGUCUACCAGGAGCAGAGGUCUCUUCUGGCAAGUGGCAUGUGUGAGGUCAUGGACAGAUAGACAGACAGAUGAUGGGCAACCUGGAGGGGAGCACAGGGCUUGGGGUCAGAGCUGUUUUCUGUGCCCGCAAGGCCGAGGGUUCAGGGCCACCAGCGCCUCCAGAGGCCACCCGGUGGUCUCUGGAGCU